rnacentral:lncRNA from 1 species
UUGAUCUCGCUACUCAUAUAUACAAUCAACUACACUCAUUGGGAACUUGGAGAGAUUGACGCUCCACUUUGAUAUUCCCGAGCCUUAUUAGUGGCAUAUGUCGGGCUGCGGGUGUUGCCCUCCUACCUGAGGAGUUACCUGAAAAACCCAGCCCCAUGAUCAAACGAACUACAUUUGACGCUCAGACAAGGGCUCGGGUUAAGCACA